CCGCUCUAAGGGGCGUCUUCACAGGGGUGGUGGGAGGGGCCUCAUCCUCGCUGUCCGAGGACUCGGUCUCACUGGAGCUCUCUGCGGCCUGGGCUGCUCUGGUGGCGGCGGCCUCCGGGGUCUUCUUGGCUGAAGGAGCGGCUCCGACCGCUUUGGUCUUGGGUGCAGCAGUGACCCGAGCGGCCGGGGCGGUCGUGGUGGCGGGAGGUUUUUUGGGGGCGUCCCCAUCAUCACUUUCCUCACUGGACUCAGUGGUGGACCCAGCAGAGGGCGUGGCCCCAGUGGGGCCCGGGGCCGCAGGAGGGGGGGCCUUGGAGGGUGUAGAGGCCGCUCUGAGGGGCGUCUUAGGUGUGGUGGGAGGGGCCUCAUCGUCAGUCCCCGAGGAAUCCGUCUCACUAGAGCUCUUGGCGGCCUGGGCCGGUCUGGCGGCAGCAGGAGAAGCCUUCCUAUUGGCUGUCGGCGUGGCUGCCUGUUGGUUCCCAGGCAGCGAUCCCUCGUCGCUGUCUGAAGACGACUCGCUGCUGUCGCUGUCUGCCUUCCUGGGGCCUCCAGCGGGGGUCCUGCCAGCGGGGUCUUCUUGGCUGAAGAAGCAGCUCUGAGCGCUUUAGUCUUGGGCGCCGGUGUGCCUGGAGCAGCCGGGCUGGUGGUGGUGGUGGAGGCCUCCUGCGGUGGAUCAGCGGCUCCAUCUUCAUCACUAGACUCACUGCUGGACGAGGCCGGGGGUUUGGACUUGGUAGGACCAGCCGCUGCCUUCACUGGGGGUUUGACAGCCUGGGUCGGGGUGGUCGGUCUCG
ensembl:lncRNA